UACGAAGGGGGCUAGCGUUGCUCGGAAUCACUGGGCGUAAAGGGCGCGUAGGCGGCCAUUCAAGUCAGGGGUGAAAGCCUGUGGCUCAACCACAGAAUUGCCUUUGAAACUGGCAGACUAGAGUACAACAGAGGAUAGUGGAGUUCCCGGUGUAGUGGUGAAAUGCGUAGAUAUCGGGAGGAACACCAGUGGCGAAGGCGACUAUCUGGGUUGUAACUGACGCUGAGGCGCGAAGGCUAGGGGAGCGAACAGG
rnacentral:rRNA from 1 species